rnacentral:tRNA from 2 species
GGGCAUUUGGUCUAGUUGUAUGAUUCUCGCUUUGGGUGCGAGAGGUCCCGAGUUCAAUUCUCGGAAUGCCCC